rnacentral:rRNA from 1 species
UUAAGUAAGGAAGGGCGUACGGCGAAUGCCUUGCCACUCGAAACUGAAGAAGGACGCGCCAAACUGCGAAAAGCUCCGUGAAGCUGUAAGGAAGCGAAGAAGCGGAGGUGUCCGAAUGGGGGAACCCGGCAGCAGACAUGAGCUGUCAUCUGCAGGUGAAUACAUGGCCUGCAAGAGAGGUACCCGGCGAACUGAAACAUCUAAGUAGCCGGAGGAAAAGAAAACAACAGUGAUUCCCUGAGUAGCGGCGAGCGAAAGGGGAGAAGCCCAAACCGGUUGAAGGACCGGGGUUGAAGGACCAUGACAUGGCAAGAACGAGGAUAGGAGAACGGGAUCGAAAGCCCGGCCGAAGAAGGUGAAAGCCCUGUAACCGAAAUCCGAGUAAAGCCUAAUGGGAUCCUGAGUACGGCGAGACACGAGAAAUCUUGUCGGAAGCAGGCGGGACCAUCCGCCAAGGCUAAAUAUAAACGAGUGAGCGAUAGUGAACCAGUACCGUGAGGGAAAGGUGAAAAGAACCGCGGGAGCGGAGUGAAAGAGAACCUGAAACCGUAUGCCUACAAGAAGUCAGAGCCCGUUAAGGGGUGAUGGCGUGCCUUUUGUAGAAUGAACCGGCGAGUUGCGACAGACUGCGAGGUUAAGGAGGAAAGACCGGAGCCGAAGCGAAAGCGAGUCUUAAGAGGGCGAAAGUAGGAUGUUGCAGACCCGAAACCGGGUGAUCUAGCCAUGAGCAGGUUGAAGUUGAGGUGAAACUCAAUGGAGGACCGAACCGACUACCGUUGAAAAGUUAGCGGAUGACUUGUGGCUAGGGGAGAAAUUCCAAUCGAACCCGGAGAUAGCUGGUUCUCCCCGAAAUAGCUUUAGGGCUAGCGUCGGAAAGAACCUUAGUGAAGGUAGAGCACUGAAUGUGUGAUGGCCCCAUCCCGGGGUACUGAAUACAAUCAAACUGCGAAUGUCAUUAAGGAUGUCCGGCAGUCAGACUGUGAGUGAUAAGGUCCAUGGUCAAGAGGGAAACAGCCCAGACCGCCAGUUAAGGUCCCAAAAUACAGGCUAAGUGGAAAAGGAUGUGGGGAUGCCCAGACAACUAGGAGGUUGGCUCAGAAGCAGCCAUCCUUUAAAGAGUGCGUAACAGCUCACUAGUCGAGUGACCCUGCGCCGAAAAUGUACCGGGGCUAAGCCUGAUACCGAAACUGCGGAUUGUAGGAAACUAUAGUGGUAGGGGAGCGUUGUAUACGAGCAGAAGCCGUACCGUGAGGAGCGGUGGAUUGUAUAGAAGUGAGAAUGCCGGUGUGAGUAGCGAGAUGUAGGUGAGAAUCCUACACACCGAAAGCCCAAGGAUUCCAGGGGAAGGUUCGUCCGCCCUGGGUAAGUCGGGACCUAACGCGAGGCCGAAAGGCGUAGUGGAUGGAAAGCAGGCGAAAGAUUCCUGCACCCGUAUAUGGAGCGAAGGAGUGACGGAGACGGAUAGUGUGACCCUCUUAAUGGAUUGAGGGCGAAGCGAAGCGGCUGGUUACCAGGCAAAUCCGGUAACCAUAAGGCUAGAGCGUGACAGGUAAGCGAAAUCUUAGGAAAGUAGCGAAGCACAUGAUGACGGCUUCCAGGAAAAGCUUCUGGCAAUGCAUAUGCGGCCCGUACCAAAACCGACACAGGUGGGCAGGGAGAGAAUCCCGAGGUGAGCGAGAGAACUGUUGCCAAGGAACUCGGCAAAAUGACUCCGUAAGUUAGCGAGAAGGAGUGCUUAAGCAAUUAAGCCGCAGUGAAGAGGCCCAAGCGACUGUUUAACUAAAACACAGCUCUCUGCGAAGUCGCAAGACGAAGUAUAGGGGGUGACACCUGCCCGGUGCUGGAAGGUUAAGAGGAUCUGUUAAGAGCGAUCUGAAGCAGUGAUCCGAAGCCCCAGUGAACGGCGGCCGUAACUAUAACGGUCCUAAGGUAGCGAAAUUCCUUGUCAGGUAAGUUCUGACCCGCACGAAAGGCGUAAUGAUUUGGGCACUGUCUCAACAGCCCGCCCGGCGAAAUUGUAGU